UAGAGUUUGAUCCUGGCUCAGGAUGAACGCUGGCGGCGUGCUUAACACAUGCAAGUCGAACGAACCGUUUUCGGAUGGUUAGUGGCAGACGGGUGCGUAACACGUAGGUGACCUGCCCUCGAGUGGGGAAUAACUCGACUAACGUCGAGCUAAUACCGCAUAUGUUCACUGCUUCGGUGUGGUGAGUAAAGCAGUAAUGCGCUUGGGGAUGGGCCUGCGGCGGAUUAGGUAGUUGGUGGGGUAAUGGCCUACCAAGCCGAUGAUCCGUAGGGGGCGUGAGAGCGUGGCCCCCCACAUUGGCACUGAGACACGGGCCAAACUCCUACGGGAGGCAGCAGUGAGGAAUAUUGCACAAUGGGCGAAAGCCUGAUGCAUCAACGCCGCGUGCGGGACGAAGGCCUUCGGGUCGUAAACCGCUUUUCUGGGGGACGAGUAAGGACGGUACCUCAGGAAUAAGUCUCGGCUAACUACGUGCCAGCAGCCGCGGUAAUACA
rnacentral:rRNA from 1 species